GAAUAUAGAGCUUGAUGGAAUUUUCUCCCUUCUUGGUCUUAACAUACUUCAAACUGCUGCCACUGAAUAUUUACUUCCCACAAUAGUCCAAGAACCAUCACCACUCACCACUUGACCCGCAACAUGUCUAAGCUGCAAGAGUUUCCGCCAACCUCAGCUACUACCACACUAGAUCAAAACAUUAAGUAACACUAGUAUCAGCAGCAAGACUAGCAAAAAGGCAUUAUGAUAAGCAAACCUGCAAACAUACAAAUAAUUAUGCUAGAAGAAAAAAGGAAACCCACCUGUUGUAGAUACAUAGACAACUCUAUAAAUGCCAGCUUUUGUCAGUGAAUCAGUCCAGCAAUUCAUCACUCGUGGAACACGACAAUAGAAAAAAAAAAUUCUGAGAACAAC
rnacentral:lncRNA from 1 species